rnacentral:rRNA from 1 species
UUCGAGUGGCGGACGGGUGAGUAACGCGUGGGUAACCUGCCUUACACAGGGGGAUAACACCUGGAAACAGGUGCUAAUACCGCAUAAGCGCACAGGGCCGCAUGGCCCGGUGUGAAAAACUCCGGUGGUGUAAGAUGGACCCGCGUCUGAUUAGCUUGUUGGCGGGGUAGGGGCCCACCAAGGCGACGAUCAGUAGCCGGCCUGAGAGGGCGGACGGCCACACUGGGACUGAGACACGGCCCAGACUCCUACGGAAGGCAGCAG